rnacentral:rRNA from 1 species
UGAACGUUGGCGGUGCGUCUAAUACAUGCAAGUCGAGCGCAACUUCGGUUGAGCGGCGGACGGCUGAGUAACACGUUGGUAGCUACCCCUCAUUCAGGGAUAAGCGCGAGAAAUUGCGUCUAAUACCGGAUGGUCUCGAAAGAGUAAAGAUUUUUCGAUGAGGGAGGCACCUGCGGUCUAUCACGCUUGUUGGUAAGGUAACGGCUUACCAAGGCUAUGACGGAUAGCUGGUCUGAGAGGAUGAUCAGCCAGAGGGAGACUGAGACACGGCUCCCACUCCUACGGGAGGCAGCAGUAAAGAAUCUUCCACAAUGGACGAAAGUCUGAUGGAGCGACACCGCGUGCAGGAUGACGGCCUUAGGGUUGUAAACUGCUUUUCUGGGGGAAUAAUUCUGAAGGUACCCUAGGAAUAAGCACCGGCUAACUCC